rnacentral:rRNA from 1 species
CGCGCUGAGCGAUGAAGGCCUUCGGGUCGUAAAGCUCUGUCCUCAAGGAAGAUAAUGACGGUACUUGAGGAGGAAGCCCCGGCUAACUACGUGCCAGCAGCCGCGGUAAUACGUAGGGGGCCAGCGUUAUCCGGAAUUACUGGGCGUAAAGGGUGCGUAGGUGGUUUCUUAAGUCAGAGGUGAAAGGCUACGGCUCAACCGUAGUAAGCCUUUGAAACUGAGAAACUUGAGUGCAGGAGAGGAGAGUAGAAUUCCUAGUGUAGCGGUGAAAUGCGUAGAUAUUAGGAGGAAUACCAGUUGCGAAGGCGGCUCUCUGGACUGUAACUGACACUGAGGCACGAAAGCGUGGGGAGCAAACAGGAUUAGAUACCCUGGUAGUCCACGCCGUAAACGAUGAGUACU